CUCUAUAUUUACAGUACAAUUCGGAAUUGUUUGCAGUAUAAACACCCGUGCAGUCACCAGAGUUAAAGGAAUACUCCACAUCAGUUUCACUGCGUCUGUUCCCUCCGAAUUCCCAUACAUUUACAUGUACUUAAAAAAAGUUUACUCCUCAUUCAUUCGAACUCCAUUAAUGUGAAACACAUACAGUAGUUAGCAGAAUGUUUACCGGAACCGGAACUACUUUUUACUGCAAAGUUACAGAUAAAACAAAUUCCAGCUUAAGCAUUUCUCUGAGGUCUGUCUCACCCUCACUCCUUUAUUACUCUUGUGUAGUUACUGAAAACUGAACAACUGCCCUUAAUCAGGACUAUAAUCAUUACUCAAAAUCAGUGUGAACAGCUUUUCUGUUCUUUUCUCUCUUUUUUUAUGUAUAUUGUUAACACGCUAAUAACGGAGUAAUGACACUCGUUUACCAUUAGGGGGCGACACCGACUCAGUGAAAGAAAGCGAGGGCGUUUCGUUAUUUUUUACAGUAACAGACACACAUCUACACUCUGCUGUAGGUGGAAACCCGUUAGAGCGUGUGUUGUGUUGUUGUUGUUGUGGUAAUGUUUGGUGUCUCUCUGCAGUCACACACAGCUGAUAGUCUGUAGAAGGUGUAUCAGCUGUGUGAGAAUUUGCCCUAAAUAGUGCACGCAAAAUGCCUCAGUGUGCAGGACGAGGUGCGGCACUCGGGCGAGGCGCUCCACAGAGGAUACAGGAAUAAACAACCGCCGGAAUGAUGAAGAAAGAAAAGAGAUAUUCACUUAAAGAAUGAAGAAUUAAAAGGACAAACCUUUAACACUCUGAACAUGUCUACAUGAUGUCAUCGGGUCAUGUGACCACAGAGUGCAUGAUGGACUAUUGAGUAACUUGACCAGAUAGAGAGAUCGACAAAACAGACAGAUAAUUCAGACAGACAGAUGAGAUAAACAAACAGACAGUUAGACAGAUAAGAUAGACAGACAGACAGAUGGUUAUAUAGAUAGAUAGAUAGAUAGAUAGACAGACAGUUAAUUAGACAGACAGACAGACAGGUGGCUCAGAAGCAGGAGUAGUGUCUCAGAGUAAUGUGUAUUGAAAGGCAGUGAGUCUAAAAGGUAUAUCAGUAUUUGCGUGAGGAAAGUUCUGGUGUUCGGGUCCUGGUGCUCGGGGUCCUGGUGCUCGGGUCCUGGUGUUCAGGUUAUGCAGAUGCUUCAGUGGAUUUUCUGAGCUCCACAUUCAGACAGUGAAAAUCACCUGCGUGUAGUUGACAAUUCUGAGGCUUUUCCUGAGUAGAAGAGUCUGAGACAGGUGUCUAGACCACCGUCUCUAUUUAUAUUGUUCCCUGAUUUCCCCCAGAAUUUAGGUGGCUGUCACGCUGGCAGUUCAGUCUGAAACAGAGCACGGUUUGCAUGGAAAAUUUCUACUGU
ensembl:lncRNA